rnacentral:rRNA from 1 species
UACGUAGGCAGCGAGCGUUGUUCGGAGUUACUGGGCGUAAAGAGUGCGUAGGCGGUUUUCUAAGUUUGGUGUGAAAUCUCCCGGCUUAACUGGGAGGGUGCGCCGAAAACUGGAAGGCUUGAGUAUGGGAGAGGUAAGCGGAAUUCCUGGUGUAGCGGUGAAAUGCGUAGAUAUCAGGAGGAAUACCGAUGGCGAAGGCGGCAUCCUGGACCGGCAUUGACGCUGAGGCGCGAAAGCCCAGGGGAGCAAACGGG